rnacentral:rRNA from 1 species
GUGAUAACCCUCUUCCUCUCUCUGCGUAUCUUGGACUCAAGUCUACUCUCCCGUCUCGCUCCUCCUCUACAACGUAGGUGACGUAUCUUCCCUAUUAGUGCGACAUAUACGAUACACAUCUUGUAUGUAUAUGAUACUAUUGACUACGCCGCAAUAUAUGGCCGCCAGCUAGCCUCCUUUAUAAAUAGACUACGGUACUUCUUAUUAAAGAUUAUAGAUCUACGUCUGUUACAUUGAAUUCGUACGGCUCUUCUACAGCAGCUUCUUAUCCAACCUGGUUACCCACCCUUUGCUGAACUCUUAUAGUAAAUAAAACCG